rnacentral:rRNA from 1 species
GUCCACACAGUAAACGAUGAAUACUCGCUGUUUGCGAUAUACAGUAAGCGGCCAAGCGAAAGCAUUAAGUAUUCCACCUGGGGAGUACGCCGGCAACGGUGAAACUCAAAGGAAUUGACGGGGGCCCCGCACAAGCGGAGGAACAUGUGGUUUAAUUCGAUGAUACGCGAGGAACCUUACCCGGGCUUGAAUUGCAGAGGAACAUAGUUGAAAGAUUAUGGCCGCAAGGUCUCUGUGAAGGUGCUGCAUGGUUGUCGU